rnacentral:misc_RNA from 1 species
GUAUAUAACUUUAUGGGCAUCAAAGACCCAGAUCAACAUUCUAUUACAUUCAUAGGAGUAUGUGAGUAACAUAGAACCUAGAGAGGCCCGCACAGCAGUCUUCUCUAAGGUCUACAAAAAGGUGCACAGGUGGAAAUAGAUAAAUAAAUGACAAGCGUGCACACUACCCAAGAAGGGCCAGCAACAGCCUAUCAAAUGUUUAUUUCAAUAAUGAUCCUUCCGCAGGUUCACCUACGGAAA